GAACGAUAUAAUCAUCUUCAUCAGGAAGGCCCUCGGUCUUUAUUAUUAUUAUUAUUGUAACGGAGGGGAGACAAAUCUAUUGGCCGGCGGCACCUUUCAAAAGAAGUGUGCACCGGGGUGCC
ensembl:ncRNA F56A11.10 ncRNA